rnacentral:lncRNA from 1 species
AAGAAACAGGCACAGGCCAGACUGGAAAUCUCUGACUCUCAGCAGCUGUGCCUCUGACUAGACAGAGACCUGCUGCUCUCCUUGCAUGGCCAAAGCGUGUUCUCUGCUCCUGCUCCCUGGGUGGAAUGGCUUUCCUCUGCCCAGAGACUGAUGUCCUCCCAUCAUUGAUAAGUAGCUCUCCUGGCCCUAGACUACAGCAUGUCUUCCAGCUCUGAAGGAGCAAUGAUUGGUUCCAAAGCCCAGAACCUUCACCUGGAGCCUAGCUGUAUGUUCUAGGGGCCAGGGAUCCCCCAGGGCUGCAUUACCGAUAUUUGGAGAGAAAAGCUGGCCUACCCUCUUCAUCUGGUAGGGUUGUGGGGGAGCUGAGCAGGCAGACUACACAGAGGUUGCUGAAUGGAAGUGGAAGGGAGAGCUGGGACAGAGCUGGUGUAGGAGACCUGCCUGGGGCCCUUCGCUGUGGAACACAGCGUGCAUACCUUAUAAAGUGUCAACAGGACCGGUUUCUUCCUUACUUAAAGCGUGAAGGGAUUAGAUUAACUCUAGGCCACAGUGGAAGGUCUGUCUUAAAGCUGGACCGGGCAGGCGGUGUGCAAGAUGUGUGGCUAUGUAUUACUUGGGAAGAUGCGGUAGGGGCCCAUGAGAUGGCUCAGUGGGUAAAGGUGCUUGCUGCCACCCUGAUCAGAAUUUGAUGCCUGGGUCUUAACAGUAGAUGGAGAGAACAGAAUCUCAAAGGUUGUACUUUAGUCACGUAUGCUGUGUAUCCCCAAAUAACAUGCAAAAAAAAAAAAAGAAGAAGAAGAACAAACAAACAUAGUUUUUCUCCUACUUUUUUCUUUUCAAGGCAGGGUUUCUCUGUGUAGCCUUGAAUGUUCUGGAAUUCACUCUGUAGACCAAAUUGGCCUUGAACUCAGAGAUCUGCCUGCCUCUGCUUAUGAAUGCUGGGACUAAAGGCAUGCGCUAUCAUUGCUCAAAUGUAAAUUUUAAAAAACUG